UCUUUUGUCACUACAAUUAUCUAAUUUUUUCAAAAUUUGUCUUUUAAUUGAAUCUCAAUAAGUCAAUCGGAUCCGUCAGGUAUUGUAUGGUGCCUAUCCCAGAGGAUUGCAUUUUUCAUGCUAGGCCAACCCUUGGCAUAAAAGGGCUCCCCCAUAGGACAUGCAUACCGAUUUUACAGUUUUGCUUACUAACUCUGGGUAUUUUUCUUUUCUUUUUCCCCCUCCCCUACAUUUAUAAAAGUUAUUUCAACAAGGUAAAAAUAUUUUUC
rnacentral:lncRNA from 1 species